AACCACCAUCAUUCUGAAGUUCCACGAAAGUUGAACUCCCUCAACAAAUUUUCUCGUUCUGCAUUACGUGCAUCAAGGACCCAAUUACAAACCAUUUCCUCAUGGAAUGCUUGAAGCUCGUCCUGAAAUUAAUUUUGAAAAUCAAUUUCAGUGUAUAAUAAAACUUAUAACUUGUACUCUACUAGUGAAGGGAACAAAUACGUACGCUGUUGUAUUCAGGCAUCGUCUUCCCGCCAUAGUCAACCAUACCAUUCCACAACUCAAUAUAUUUCAAAACCAAUACUCCACAAUCAUAACUACAUACAGGAAAGCACAUAAAAAUAUUUACAUAUGAAUAUGCAUAAAAAUAACAAAAGUUUUCAUUUAAAUACUAACCCGUUUGGCUGUAUAGGAAGUUUUUGUUUGAGUACUUUGAUGGGGGACUAUUCACUCCACCGAACUUGUCAAGAAUUUUGUACACAUGGUCAACUUGCACAGCCUGCACCGUACAAUACAAGAAAUCAGAAAUCAAAU
rnacentral:lncRNA from 1 species